rnacentral:rRNA from 1 species
CCAUAUGUCCGGAAAGUCUGACGGAGCACGCCGCGUGAGUGAUGAAGGUUUUCGGAUCGUAAAGCUCUGUUGUUAGGGAAGAACAAGUGCAAGAGUAACUGCUUGCACCUUGACGGUACCUAACCAGAAAGCCACGGCUAACUACGUGCCAGCAGCCGCGGUAAUACGUAGGUGGCAAGCGUUGUCCGGAAUUAUUGGGCGUAAAGGGCUCGCAGGCGGUUUCUUAAGUCUGAUGUGAAAGCCCCCGGCUCAACCGGGGAGGGUCAUUGGAAACUGGGAAACUUGAGUGCAGAAGAGGAGAGUGGAAUUCCACGUGUAGCGGUGAAAUGCCUAUAGAUGUGGAAGACCCCCAGUGGCG